rnacentral:tRNA from 1 species
GCGCGCUUAGCUCAAUGGUAGAGCGACGCUUUGACGUAGCGUAGGUUGGGGGUUCGAUCCCCUCAGCGCGCA